rnacentral:lncRNA from 1 species
AUUUGGACUUUAUGGCGCUCUCGGAAUGAUAGGAUUUUUUUGGGGAGAAUUGUAGAGUUACAAGAGAUGGUGGAUAGAAUUAAGCUUGUUUCUUGGAAAUGGCUUUUGGCAAAAAAGAUUGGUACACCUUGCUUGUUUUAUGAAUUAUGAGUGGUGUACGAAUCCUUUUGACUGUAUAGCUAGAUAGUUUUGGGUAUGGUUUUUUCGGAUUGGGUGGAGUACUAUUUGUACUUUUUCUUUAGAAAUGGAUUGAGUAUCACUUGUACUUUUUUCCAAUUCGUUUUUUA